rnacentral:rRNA from 1 species
CCUACGGGUGGCAGCAGUAGGGAAUUUUCGGCAAUGGGGGGAACCCUGACCGAGCAACGCCGCGUGAACGAAGAAGUUAUUCGUAAUGUAAAGUUCUUUUAACAGGGAAGAAAGAGAAAUUUGACGGUACCUGAAGAAUAAGCUCCGGCUAACUACGUGCCAGCAGCGGAGGUAAUACGUAGGGAGCGAGCGGGUUCCGGAAUUAUUGGGGGAAAAGGUGGCGUAGAUGGCAUAUUAAGACUUCUGUAAAAAUGCUGGGCUAAACCCAGUAGGGAAAAAGAUACUGCAAAGCUAGAGUAUGACAGAGGCAAGUGGAACUACUUGUGUAGCGGUAAAAUGCGUAAAUAUAUGUAAGAACACCAGUGGCGAAGGCGGCUUGCUGGGUCGAUACUGACAUUGAGGCACGAAAGCGUGGGGAGCAAACAGGAUUAGAUACCCUUGUAGUC